GAGUUUGAUCCUGGCUCCAGAUUGAACGCUGGCGGCAGUGCCUUACACAGUGCAAGUCGAACGGCAGCACGGAGCUUGCUCCUGGUGGCGAGUGGCGAACGGGUGAGUAAUGCAUCGGAACGUAUCCUGGAGUGGGGGAUAACGUAGCGAAAGUUACGCUAAUACCGCAUAUUCUGUGAGCAGGAAAGCGGGGGACCUUCGGGCCUCGCGCUCUUGGAGCGGCCGAUGUCGGAUUAGCUAGUUGGUGAGGUAAAGGCUCACCAAGGCGACGAUCCGUAGCAGGUCUGAGAGGAUGAUCUGCCACACUGGAACUGAGACACGGUCCAGACUCCUACGGGAGGCAGCAGUGGGGAAUUUUGGACAAUGGGGGCAACCCUGAUCCAGCCAUGCCGCGUGAGUGAAGAAGG
rnacentral:rRNA from 1 species